ensembl:lncRNA
CAUGCUGGCUCACAUCUUCUUUGUCAGGCUGGCAACCGAGACCCGGGACAUUUAUAUGAACAGCUGGUAGCAUAAGAGGUAUGGGGACAUGUGAUGGAGGUCUUCCAGAUGAUGGCAGCACAAGUCUCUAUUUUUAUACCUUAUUUAUUUACUCAACGUAUACAGGAAGCAGUUGUUUGCUCGUUAGCCUUUAACAUAUUAUCAAGUGACUUGCAGGACUGUUGAUUUAGUAAAGCUCCUGCAGGAAUGUUAUAUCUUUUGUUCCAAUUGUGUACAAUGUUUUGUUGCAGAUCCAUCUGCAUAUUCAAUUUGAAGGUAUACAAAUGAUUGGAUCCUUUUAACGAAGAAACAGAU